rnacentral:lncRNA from 9 species
AGGGUGUGUUCUACUUUUGUUGAUUUCCAUGCAGCUGUCCAGUUUUCCCAGCACUACUUCCUGAAGAGAUUGUGUUCCCAUUUUAUAUUCUUGCCUCCUUUGUCAAAGAUUAAUUGACUACAGGUUUUUGGAGUUUAUUUCUGUGUUCUCUAGACUAUUCACUUGGUCUGUUUGUCUCUUUUUGUACCAGUACCACACUGUCUUGAUUACUUACUGUAACUGUAAUAUUGUCUGAAGUCUGGGAGAGUUAUGCCUCUUGCUUGGUUUGUUUCCUUCAGGAUUACUUUGGCAAUUCUGGGUCUAGUUCUGUGAAAAAUGUCAUGGGUAAUUGGAUAGGGAGUGCAUCUAAUCUGUAGAUAGCUUUGGGUAGUAUGGGCAUUUUAACAAUAUUAAUUCUUCCAAUCCAGGAGCAUAGAAUGUCUUUCCAUUUCUUUGUAUCCUCUUUAAUUUCCUUGCUUAAUGUUUUAGACUUCUCAGCAUAUAAGUCCUUCACCUCUUUAGUCAGGUUUAUUCCUAGGUAUUUAAUUUUGGGGGUGCAAUUUUAGAAGGUAUUGUAUUUUUUUAUUCCUUUUCUAAUAUUUCGUUGUUAGUAUACAGAAAUGCAACCAAUUUAUGAAUGUUAAUUUUGUGUUCUGCUGCUUUGCUGAAUUUAUUGAUUAGUUUGAGAAUUUUAUGUGUGGAGUCCUUAGAAUUUUCUAUAUAUAGUAUCAUGCCAUAUGCAUACAGUUACAAUUUUACCUCUUUUCCAAUGUGGGUACCUUUUCUUUCUUUUGUUAGUCUGAUCACUGUGGUUCAGUCUUCCAAUACUGUGUUGAACUGAAGUGGUGAGAGUGGGCAUCCUUGUCUUCCUCAAGAUUUUAGGGGGAAGGCUUUCAGCUUUUCUCUGUUGAGUAUUAUAUUGGCUGUGGGUUUGUCACAAAUGGCUUUUAUUAUGUUAAGGUAUGUUUUCUCUAUACCCACUUUGGUAAGAGUUUUUAUCAUGAAUGGAUGUUGGAUUUGUCAAAUGCCUUUUCUGAGUCUAUUGAGAUGUUCAUGUGUCUUUUGACUUUUGUUAAUGUGGUGUAUGACAUUGAUUGAUUUGCAUAUGUUGAACCAUCCUUGUGAACCUGGGAUGAAUCCCCCUUGAUUGUGGUGUAUGAUCGUUCUAUAUGUUGAUGGAUUCAGUUGGCUAAAAUUUUGUGGAGAAUUUUUGCUUCUAUAUUCAUCACAGAUGUUGGUCUGUAAUUUCCCUUUUUGGUAGUAUAUUUGUCUGGUUUUGGUAUUAACAUGAUGGUGGCUUGAUAGAAUGUCUUUGAGAGUGUUCCUUCUUCUUCAACCUUUUGGAAAAGUUUAAGAAGGAUGGGUAUAAAUUCUUCUCUAUAUGUUUGUUAGAAUCUGCCUCUGAAGCCAUCUGGUCCUGGAAUUUUGUUUGUAGGGAGUAUUUUUAUUACAUAUACAAUUUCAUUUCUGGUGAAUGAUCUGUUCAAUUGAUCUAUUUCUUGUUUUGUGCCCCAGGAUGUGGUCAAUCCUUGAGAAUGUUCCAUGUGCACUUGAAAAGAAUGUAUAUUCUGAUGUUUUUUGGAUGUAAUGUCCUGAAAAUAUCAAUUAAGUCUAA